rnacentral:rRNA from 1 species
UACAUGUGGGGCAAGCGUUGUUCGGAAUUACUGGGCGUAAAGGGCGCGUAGGCGGUCAGCACAAGUCAGUUGUGAAAUCUCCGGGCUUAACUCGGAAAGGUCAACUGAUACUGUGCGACUAGAGUGCAGAAGGGGCAACUGGAAUUCUCGGUGUAGCGGUGAAAUGCGUAGAUAUCGAGAGGAACACCUGCGGCGAAGGCGGGUUGCUGGGCUGGCACUGACGCUGAUGCGCGAAAGCCAGGGGAGCGAACGGG